rnacentral:rRNA from 1 species
GAUGAACGCUGGUGGCGUGCCUAAUACAUGCGAGUCAAGCGAACGGACGAGAAGCUUGCUUCUCUGAUGUUAGCGGCGGACGGGUGAGUAACACGUGGAUAACCUACCUAUAAGACUGGGAUAACUUCGGGAAACCGGAGCUAAUACCGGAUGAUAUUUUGAACCGCAUGGUUCAAAAGCGAAAGACGGUCUUGCUGUCACUUAUAGAUGGAUCCGCGCUGCAUUAGCUAGUUGGUAAGGUAACGGCUUACCAAGGCAACGAUGCAUAGCCGACCUGAGAGGGUGAUCGGCCACACUGGAACUGAGACACGGUCCAGACUCCUACGGGAGGCAGCAGUAGGGAAUCUUCCGCAAUGGGCGAAAGCCUGACGGAGCAACGCCGCGUGAGUGAUGAAGGUCUUCGGAUCGUAAAACUCUGUUAUUAGGGAAGAACAUAUGUGUAAGUAACUGUGCACAUCUUGACGGUACCUAAUCAGAAAGCCACGGCUAACUACGUG